UUGUUUUUCUUUACUUUUUUAUAGAGACAGGGGGUCUCAUUGUGUUGCCCAGGCUGGUCUUGGACUCCUGAGCUCUAGCAAUCCUCCCGCCUCUGCCUCCCAAACUGUUGGGAUUACAGACGUGAGCCACUGCACCUGGCCUAUUUCUUUCCCUUUCUGUGUCUUUUCAAUUUUUUUUAAAACAAAAAGAGCAGUCUCUUUGAUCCAGAGCUUCACGGGAGGGUGAGACUGUGGCUCCCAGGGUCCUGCGAGUGAGCGACUCAUUACAUUUUACACCUGGGCACCUCCCUCUCCCUACCCAGCUCUGAGGCUUCAACCAGGCGACAGCAGGAAGCAAAUUUAAUUUCACCCCCAUCCCUACCAAUAUAGGUCCUUUUGCUGUUGCUUUCUACUUAUGGAAAUGGCCCUGGUUUCCUUUUGUGGUGGUGGCAUAAAAGUUCCUUCCCAAAUAAAUUCAUUUAAGUUUUUUGUUUUUUUUUUUUUUUUUUUUUUAAAGGAAAAGCAAGUUGAUUGAAGGAAAAAUCUGUGGUCCGGGGAGAUGUUCCAAAUCCUGGAGGUGGAGAGGAAUGAAUGACGUUUGUGGCUUGCAGAUCAACUCCCCUCAGCGGGCGUGACGUCAUUGCAGCCAAAAUUGUCCUCCACGCACUGCUACGGCAGAGGAGCAACAAGCUGGAUGAGCAGCAGAUGAGUGAUGUCUCCUCGGUGGCCAUCAGGAUUUCCUCUCCAAAGGCAGCCUUCAAUUUCCUGCUCACUCUGCCUGGCUCAUCGCAGCCUUGGCCCCAUUUAACAGGUGAGGAAACUGAGACUCCAGGCAGCAUUCCCAUGCCCGAAACCAUCAGCUGCAGCUUCCCCAGGCCCUGCUACCCUCUAGGUGGGACAGAAUUCUAACAGCCCUUGGCUUACCUGGGAGGAUGACUUGGAGUCCUUAAGACCAACCCUUGGCCACCUCUUCCAGGAAGUCUUCCUGUCUUGAGCUGGCCAGGAACCUUUCUCCUCUGAAUCCCACUCUUGCUUGUGGCAGGCCUGGCAAGUGUGUUCUCCGAGGGGAGACUGGUGGUUUCCGAUCCUCCAGACCCUACCCAGCCCACCAUGCCCCUCCUUGCAGGAAAAUUAGAAAAAGCAAAAUGGAGGGGGCACUUCUGGAAGGGAAAAUAUUUUGAUUCUCUGAAGGCACAAAAAUUGCCUGAUUCCCAAUCAAUUAGGGGUAAUUAACCCUUCACAAAGUAGUAAUUAAGUCUGUGCCUCUGAAACCUUAAUUAAAAGCUCCAAGAGACUCUGCCUUCUCCCCAGUAGCCAGGCAGCCCCCAGAACUGAGGCCAGGCUGUGGAGACCGGGUGUACCCCUUCUGCACUAGCAGGGAGUGCAGGGGACAGGGCUCUGCUCCCCUCCUGGGGCUGAGUGAGACCCACAGCCUCUCUCAUGGCCACCCCCAGGCAGGGAUCCCAAGAGCAAUGUUCGAGAAACCAGAUCUCUUUCCUGCAUAGUCCCUUUUGGGGUUGUCAGGCCACACAGGGAGACUUUGCUCUCGAGGGUAUAAAGGCAAAGGGCGCAGGCUGGGCUGGGGUUUGUUGUGGGGCUGGUAACAACCUUUUUUUUUUUUUUUUUUGAGACGGAGUUUCCCUCUUGUCGCCCAAGCUGGAGUGCAAUGGCAUGAUGUGAGCUCACUGCAACCUCCACCUCCCAGGUUCAAGUGAUUCUCCUGCCUCAGCCUCCCAAUUAGCUGGGAUUACAAGUGCCCACCACCAUGACCAGCUAAUUUUGUUUUUUGUAUUUUUAGUAGAGCUGGGGCUUCAUCAUGUUGGCCAGGCUGGUCUCGAACUCCUGACCUCAAGGGAUCUGCCCCCCUCGGACUCCCAAAAGUGCUGGGAUUACAGGUGUGAGUCACCGAGCCCUGUCCAUCUUUAAGACCAUUUUUCUCCAGCCUGGCAGAGCUGAAGUAGAGACACCCCCAGCUCCAAAUGGAAGCGACGAUACCAAGCAUGUGAUUAUCCUCACGAAUGACCACAGGGAGGACGGCAGGCUCAGAGAGGACAAAGGACACUUUCCGGUGGAGGCACUCACUGCAGUCCCCAGGCCGACAGGGGUGGGAGACCCUUGGCUGUCUAUUGUCUUUUAGUGUCAAGAGACUGAAGAGCUAUAAUCCCAGUGCUUUGGGAGGCUGAGAUGGGAGGAUCACUCGAGGCCAGGAGUUUGAGACCAGCCUGGGCAACGUAAUGAGACUCUGUCUUUACGAAAAAAAAAAAAUUUAAAUUAGUCAGGCAUGGUGGUGAGCACCUGUAGUCACAGCUACUGAGGUGGGAGAAUCCCUCCCCCUCCUCCCCUCACUCCCCUCCCCUCCCUUCCCCUCCCCUCCUCUUCCUUUUCUUUUCUUUUCUUUCUUUUUUUUUUUGACAGAGUUUCACUCUGUCACCCAGGCUGGAGUGCAGUGGCAUGAUCUCAGCUCACUGCACUCUCUGCCUCCCAGGUUCAAGUAAUUCUCAAGCAAUGCCUCAACCUCCCAAGUAGCUGGGACUACAGGUGUGUGCCACCAAGCCCAGCUAAUUUUUUUUGUAUUUUUAGUAGAGAUGGGGUUUCUCCAUGUUGGCCAGGCUGGUCUGGAACUCCCGACCUCAAGUGAUCCUCCCACCUUGGCCUCCCAAAAUAGUGGGAUUACAGGUGUGAGCCACUGCGCCUGGCCUGAGGUGGGUGGGUAAUUUCAGCCUGGGUGGUCGAGGCUGCAGUGAGCCAUGGUCAUGCCACCGCACUCCAGCCUGGGCAACAGAGCGAGACUCUGUCUCAAAAAUAAAUAAAUAAAUAAAUAAAUAAAUAAAUAAAUAAAUAAAGGUGGCUAAUGCUAAGCAUUGUUUUUUGUUUUUCUUUGUUUGUUU
ensembl:lincRNA